CCCUUUCGUAAAGACAUGAGUUAGAAUAAAACUGAAAACGUAACUUAUCCUAGCGCUCUCUCUCAUUUCUCUUUUUCAUCUAUGCAUAAAGCUGUUGUUAAUGUUUUGCCAAACAAUUUUUCUAAACACAACUCACCUUUACCUAUAAAGUUGCUCAUGAAGUUGUUUUCCAAAAAAUCAGCUUUACUAGUGAAGCUAAGCCGUGCCAA
rnacentral:lncRNA from 1 species